rnacentral:tRNA from 1 species
GGCUCAGUGGAUAAAGCGCUUGCCUCUCAAGCAUGAGGACCUGAGUUCUAUCCUCAG